GGAGAGAUGGCUCAGUGGUUAAGAGCACUGGUUAAGAGACCUGGGUUCAAUUCCCAGCACCUACA
rnacentral:tRNA from 1 species